AUUUUAUGUGAUGCACGUAAAAUUUAACAACUUGGUAAUAAAACUUAUUAGAUUUUUGAGUGAAGGUUAUGUGUCAUGUUGAUAAAAGUUACGUGAAAUUCACAUACCUUUUACUGGAGCUCACAGUGAGAAAAUUACUGUUUUAUAAACUCAAGAUGGCGUCAACUGGAUAUACGCGUUCAUUAUUGUUGGAUGAUUUAGGCUUCCCUGAAAGUCUACUAGAUGUUUUCGAGCAGUGCGGGAUCGGAUUAUUCGAAGUAAUAACCUUCUCGAUUGAAGAGUUACAGUGUCAUUUGCAGCAAACGGAUGCUGAUUGGAAAAUUGAGGUUAUUUUUGAAGCUAUAAGUUCCUGGCGAAAAAGAAAUAAAUCAGCGAUCCUCAGUGCAUUAACCAGCAACGGACUUCCCGGAAAUGGAGGAGCAAACGAACCCUGUGAGUCAAGUGGAAG